GCUGUAGUUUUAUUAGCUGUAGUUUAGUUAGCUCUGUAGUUUAGUUAGCUGUAGUUUAAAUAGCUGUGGAUUAGUUCGCUGUAGUUUAAUUAGCUGUAGUUUAGUUAGCUGUAGUUGAAUUAGCUGUAGUUUGGUUAGCUUUAGUGUAAUUACCUGUAGUUUACUUAGCUGAAGUUUAAUUAGCAGUGGUUUAGUUAGCUGUAGUUUAGUUUAGCUGUAGUUUACUGAGCUGAAGUUUAAUUAGCUGUGGCUUAGUUAGCUGUAGUUUAAUUACCUGUAGUUUAGUUACCUUUUUAUUAGCUGUAGUUUAGUUAGCUGUAGUUUUAUUAGCUGUAGUUUAGUUAGCUGUAGUUCUCUUAGCUGUAGUUUAGUUAGCUUUAGUGUUACGCAGACCAAAGCUCAUCACUGUGUAAGAAAACAUAAAAGCUGAAGUUUCCUUUGCUCUCUGUGACAGUGGAACUUGCCAACAGCCUUUAAAGCAAAUUGAAUUUGCUAACAAAUUUAGCCAAACCCACUUGAUCAACACAAUCAUCCAUACGUGGCAAUGGAUAAGCACCUGGUUUUGUGACACUGUUCACUUUUCUGUAGUCUGUGUAAAACCUUGGAGUUCUGUCUGCCUUGUCCACCAACAAGCAAACUGAAGGUUCUGCUAACCCAGCACCAAUGACAUACUUUACCUGACUUUCCAAAACCUUACCUUUCUCUUCUGAGACUUGAUAGAAACACUGAUGAAUUGGUUUGUGCCUCUCCUACCAGAUGAGUGUGUGAUGGGACAUCACUAACAAACCUCCUAAUAAGGGCAGAUAAUUCUGUGGACCUUCUACUGGGUAGGUGGUCCAGUAGAAGGUCCAGAUUAUUCAGUGUUUCUGAAUUUUUCAGUCUGCCACACAACAUACUUUCAUCUGCUGAACAGACUUCAUCAUUCUCCACAACAGCAGAGAAAUGAAUUUCAAUAUGAAUUUCAGAUUUCCUGUCAUACAGUGUUUUCAUUUUAGUUUGUGCACAAACUACACUGAACAAAAAUAUAAAUGCAACACAU